GGUUGUCCUCUUCUGUUUCUUUUUAAAAAAAAAAUGGAGUCAAGGCUCACUCUGACUUCUAGCUGUGGGAAUUCUGUCAUAGAUAUAAUGUAGAAAUAUACUUUUUUAAAGCAUGAAGAAAACAAAAAUGUACCUGAAAGAGGACAUUAUUCAGAGGAUUAUGCACAGCUCGAUAAGGAUGAAGUUGUGGUUUUCUUUCAGCCUUGUUGCUAUUAUUUUCUUCUGCAUAAAUGUACACUCAUUUCAUUAUGUGCCUUGCUCCCUGAUUGUGCAAAGCUAUAUAUAUACACACAAAUAUAUAUAUAUAUAUGAGAGAGAGAUAUAUUCAUUCAGUACUACUGAUGUUUUUGUUCUACUGCUGGAUUAAGUUAUUGUCUGAGUUACACUUGCCACUUGUCAUAAACUAUUGUAAUGGCUUAGGACAGUGGUCAUAUAGCCAGAGUAAAUUUGUUUUUCCAGUUUCAUUAUUUUGUCAUCUAUCCCAAUUCUUAAUAAAAAAAAAAAAAGUACAUAGAUUCCAUUUAAACAAAGGAUUUCAAGUGUUUUGGAUGAGCACUAUUAAGAGCCUGGCUUUGUAGGGUGGGAGAGAUGACUCAGCUGUUAAGAAUGCUUUCUGCUCUUCCAGAGGACCAGAGUUCAAUUCCCAGCACCCUCGUCGGGCAACUCAAAACCACCUAUAACUCCAGCUCCAAAGGAUCCAAUGUCCUCUUCUGGCCUCCAAGGCACCUGAACAUGUGUGGCAUACAUACACUUAAAUAAAUAAAAGUAGAUUUUUAAAGAACCUGGUUUUAAAGCUUGUUGUGUCAGAAUCUCCUGAACAGGUUACAUGCUGGAGGCUAAUUAACCACAGUUACCUUGGUGUGUCUUGCUUGUUUAUACCAACAGACUAGAGAUGAGGAAGUGGUAAGGGCGGCAAGUAAAGGUGUUUGCCAACCAGCCUGACCUUCACAUGGAUAAGAGAGCCAAUUCUCAGAGGCUGCCCCCUGCAUGUGCACACAAACACAAUAAAUUUAAUAGUAGUAAUAGGUUUUGGUUUUUCAUUUUUGUAGAUUAGAAAUUUAUUUGUAUUAGCUGGGCAGUGGUGGCACAUAUUUAAGAAAAAAAACCACAUAUCUUGGCCAUAUAGCUAGGCUUUUCUCUGACUAGAUCAUAACUUAAAAUAAACCUAUUUAUUUUAACCUAUUUUCUGCCCAUGGCUGGUUACCUAUAUUCAGGUACCAUGCUUCUGUCUCCUUACAUUUUCCUGGGCGGAGCUUCCUGUGCCUUGCUGGCUCUAUCCCAGAAUGCUUUCUCUCUCUUGGAUGUCUCACCUCUUAGUUCUUGCCUAAGCCUUAAGCUUUCUAAUGGACAAGUGGUGUAGCCAUACAAUACACAAAUACAAUAGAUAUUCUCUCUACAAUCUUUAUGGUGUGGGCAUGCAGUCAACAUUUAAUUAGCAGUUAUGAGCUCAUCUCGCAAGAAAUAUUGGUAGAGCCUCUAUGAUUUUUCUAUUUGACCUCGAGUGUUUUAGUUUAGCUUGCACAUACACGGAACUGUCUUUAGUUUCAGCCUCUGUACAGCAGUCACUCAUGCAUCUGAAUUUAGGUCACCCUUAGCAUUAUAUCAAAUAAAACACUGAAAGUGAUCCCACAGUUCAGAAAUAUACUCUGCAUGAAG
rnacentral:lncRNA from 1 species